ACGGAAGGCAGCAGUAGGGAAUCUUCGGCAAUGGGGGCAACCCUGACCGAGCAACGCCGCGUGAGUGAAGAAGGUUUUCGGAUCGUAAAGCUCUGUUGUAAGAGAAGAACGUGUGUGGGAGUGGAAAGUUCGCACAGUGACGGUAACUUACCAGAAAGGGACGGCUAACUACGUGCCAGCAGCCGCGGUAAUACGUAGGUCCCGAGCGUUGUCCGGAUUUAUUGGGCGUAAAGCGAGCGCAGGCGGUUUAAUAAGUCUGAAGUUAAAGGCAGUGGCUUAACCAUUGUUCGCUUUUGAAACUGUUAAACUUGAGUGCAGAAGGGGAGAGUGGAAUUCCAUGUGUAGCGGUGAAAUGCGUAGAUAUAUGGAGGAACACCGGUGGCGAAAGCGGCUCUCUGGUCUGUAACUGACGCUGAGGCUCGAAAGCGUGGGGAGCAAACAGGAUUAGAUACCCUGGUA
rnacentral:rRNA from 1 species